GAGCCGUUAGCUCAGUUGGCAGAGCACCGGACUUUUAAUCCGGGUGUCCUGGGUUCGAGUCCCAGACGGCUCA
rnacentral:tRNA from 1 species